GCAGCUUUACCCCUCUAAUAUUCAUUAAGGUCUAACCUGGAUGGGUACACAAGCUCUCAAAUCUCACCAACAGCUGCCCCUAGCAACUAACUCAACACACUGCAGAGCAGAGUAAUCAGUGCAUGAGAGAGGGAUUAACUCAGCAGUGCUCCAACUGAGAGUGAGCUCUUUUUGAAAUGAUCAAUUCUCGCCCCGAGCGGAGAAGAAUUUUAAAGGGACACUAUAGACACCCAGACUACUACAGCUCAUUGAGGUCUGGGUGCAGUGUCCCUAAUGCACUUAGUG